rnacentral:rRNA from 1 species
GUAGCUGGCUGUAUCCGUCUCCCGUUAAAUCCAGCGUCCUAAGCGUUGGACCGCGGGUGAUACCAUACAGCUAGAGGGUGGGAUAGGUGGGCGGUAUUUCUGGGGUAGGGGCGAAAUCCUUUGAUCCCAGGAGGACCACCAGUGGCGAAGGCUGCCCACUAGAACACGCCUGACGGUCAGGGACGAAAGCUGGGGCAGCGAACCGGAUUAGAUACCCGGGUAGUCCCAGCUGUAAACGAUGCUAGCUAGGUGUUGGGUCGGCCACGCGCCGCCCCAGUGCCGCA